rnacentral:rRNA from 1 species
GACGAACGCUGGCGGCGUGCCUAAUACAUGCAAGUCGAACGCUUCCUACCGGUGCUUGCACCGGGAAAGAAGAGUGGCGGACGGGUGAGUAACACGUGGGUAACCUACCUACAAGCGGGGGAUAACAUUCGGAAACGGAUGCUAAUACCGCAUAGAUCUUUUUGUCUCCUGGCAAAAAGAAGAAAGACGGUUUCGGCUGUCACUUGUAGAUGGACCCGCGGCGCAUUAGUUAGUUGGUGAGGUAAUGGCUCACCAAGACGAUGAUGCGCAGCCGACCUGAGAGGGUGAUCGGCCACACUGGGACUGAGACACGGCCCAGACUCCUACGGGAGGCAGCAGUAGGGAAUCUUCCGCAAUGGACGAAAGUCUGACGGAGCAACGCCGCGUGAGUGAAGAAGGUUUUCGGAUCGUAAAACUCUGUUGUUAGAGAAGAACAAGGAUGAGAGUAACUGCUCAUCCCUUGACGGUAUCUAACCAGAAAGCCAUGGCUAACUACGUGCCAGCCGCCGCAGUAA